UCUCCCGAAUCCGACCUAAUAAGAGCCUUCAAAGUUAACGGGCCGGGCCUACUCUUGUGGGCUUAGCAUAGACCCACGCUAAAACUAUAAAGCUUAUUAGUGAGUGUAUGGCGCUCACAGCGAGCAUAUAAGCGUCGAAACGCGCCUCCUCCGCCGUCUCGGCUCCGCCUUUCUCCUCCGUCCCCGCCGUCUUCUCCCUCUUCCCUCUCCUUCGCCGCUCGUAUUUUCUUCUCCCACACUCUCCUCUUCAUCUUCUUCCAGAUCACCCUUCUUUCCUCCCUUUCGAGCUGCAUCCGUCCUCGGCGCCAGCGACUUUGACACCGACUCCGACGAGCCCUCAGCCGUCUUCCACGAGUCCGACUUCCAUGGAUUACACCUGCUUCUCACCCGAUCCAAAACCAAAUCCUUGUCCUUGUCGCGAUGAGAGGCCCUGGCCUUCCCGCGGGUCUCCUUUCGGUGGUCGCGCGCACUCGGGGUUUGGUCACCUAGGCUCUAUUGAUGCUGAUGCGGGGCCAUGAAUUGGCCUUCCUCGCUUCUGGUGGGCGUGGCAUAUCAUGACUUGGGUGAUGGGCAAGCAGCGGCGAUUUGAUUUGGCCUGCUUCCUGGUGCGCGGCAUGCUCCCCGAGUGUUUGUGACCAAGAAAACUAUACAAAUAUCCCAAUGGCAAGCAGCUGCAGAUGUUAUCAAUCUUCUCUCCCCUACCAUGAACCCAGGACAGCUGGGAUCAACAGCUAGAUUACAUGCCACUUUUUUGUUGGUAAAAUGUGGGUUAAUGGCCUACUAGCUGUAAAUCAUUUUCUGAUUCUAUAAUAAGAUAGAUGUUGCUGAUUAUUUUCGGAUUAUUUGUUUUUGUCAUGAGAUAAAACCAAGGAAAGAUGACCAAGAUGAGGUAUCACAUUUUCUGCAGCUUGAUCUGCUAUGCGAGUGAAUAAACCAGCUGACUAGUGAUAUUUAUUUGGACUUUUGAAUUAGCAUUUCAGAUAGAUUGUGGCUUGAACUGGCCAGUGUAAAUAUUAACUUGUGGUAUAAAUCUGUUGAAAUGGUUCUUGAAGCUCUCACAAAACAGGUGGGUUCCACACGGCAGAAGUGACAUGGGUGAGACUACCUGCCAUUUGAGAGGGGAAAAUGUACCCCUGUAUCAGCUGACGCCAUUGAUCCAAUUUGGAGAAGGCCUCACAUUCAUGCACAUUAUCUCCCACCUUUGCUCCAGGACACGGACUUGUGUUGUUGAUCCCAGGUGCAAGAGUGUCGCGGAUGGUGUUCCUUGAGAAUGGAGCUUCAUGCAGUAGAUUCCACAUUUUUCGAUGGGAAAUCGUGUUCCUUGUCUCGAUUUUCAGAGAAUGGUCCACAGUUGGAUGAUGAUGAUGAUUGUGAUGGUGGUGGUGGUGGAUUCUGCCCCUUCAAAGUGGUGAAAGUUAUUUCUCCCAGAAAAAGAGGUGUGUUGGCAAUCAUCAAAAUACCUUCUCUGAACCAUGUGCAGUCCACCUUGUUGGUAUCAGUGACACAAUAGAAAAUGGAGGUGCAGCAAGCAGUCUGGCAAAACAGACAAAAGCACCCAACACUGUUUCAUCUUUCUUUCUCGAUUCAAAUGAUUCAAGAGAAAGCAAGAAAGUCAAAUCCGUGAAGAAGAAGAAUAUAAUUGUUGUGUUCUCUGCAGAAGACAUCCGAUGCAAAGAUUUGCCUGAUCCACUGGUAUGUAGCAUGACACCCUGCCAUUUGCUAGAAUAAUAGGUUUUGAGUUGAUGCCAACGUGCGUGCUCGAUUUCAUGUGAUCACAAGUUGGUAUGGUAGCACUUGCACCUGACGACAGAAAUCCAUAUCAUCUUCUGACAUGUCACAUGUGGUGCCAAUUGAUAUCUAACCAGCUAAAGAAAAGCUCCGAUGACAGGGAACCACCACUGCACAAGAUACAGAAUCACCAUUCCAGACUUGAUAUAAUGCAUUUCAAGAAUCUACACAAGGAUGAACCGGAAGAACAAAAAGCUCCAGUCGUUUAGAUUCCUUUAUACCCAACAAAUUGUUUUCGAGUGCCUGUUAGCUGCUGUACAGCUCAUAAUAAGCUUUGUACAGAAAGGGCAUCUAUCUACCCAUAAUUGUUUCAUGGAAUAAUAUCCAAGCGGAGAAGGUUGCUGAUCAACAACAACUCAAAGUUGGUAAGCGUUCGUUCUCUAUCAAGAACAAAGAAGCAUUCUAUAUCUUGGUACAUUACAACAGCUCAAUGUUGCAUGUUGUUUAACCAUGUCUGAGAACAACACUACAAUUAGAUGUUUUCUAACACAACAUUCUUUUUGAUUUGGGUAUGAGGACCAAAAAUUGCAUGCAUGCAUUCAUGCGCAAGAGAAAUCGGCAGAAAGCAAUCAAUCACACAUCUUUUCAAUCAGAAAGAAGGAAAGAAAUCAUUAUCUACACAACAGCAAGAAGCUCAGGGAGGGGAAGGAGAAAACUCGCAUGGCAUAGCCGGAAGUUCCAUCUCCCCCUUGAGAAUUCUGACGACGUCGCCACCGUCCGGCCGCAGCUCCGGAAUCCUCUGCAAGCACAAGAGAGCCAGGUUGAUGCAAAGGCUCGCCUGUUCCUUGUCAUAUGCAUCCGUCAACCUCUCAUCCACGAGCUCCAGGAGAUUGCCGGUUUGAAGCAACCGCCUGCACCAGCUCACCAAGCUCGCCUUCUCUGGCUUCGCCGGCGACGGCAGCACGUGCAGCGGCCUCCUCCCGGAGACGAUGACAAGGAUCAGAACCCCGAAGCUGUAUAUAUCGGCCUUCUCCAUCAGCUGAUCACAGCCAUGGCACUCUGGAGCGACGUAGCACACCGUGCCUCUCAUGCUCGUCGUGCUGCUCAGCUCCCUACUGAGCAGAUCACCGCUGAACAUGUCGCUGCCCACUGACUGACUCCUCUUCUUCCUCCAUCCCUUUCUGAAGCCUGCAUCCGCGGUCAAGUCUCGGCCAUGCUUAUUAGCAUCAUCGCCGAGAUCACUGAUCGUUCGGAGCCACUUCCGCUCUUUCUGGCAAUGUCCCUUCUUGCUCAUUUC